rnacentral:misc_RNA from 1 species
UGCAGUGAGUCGACGUCCGGAAGUCGAACAGGCAGGAUGGAGCACGACACCAAGCACACUUCCUGUAAUUGCCUGGAUUUUAACAAAAUGGCCAAGGUGAAGAAAGUGGUGGACGAAGCCCGGGAACAAAACAACCCCGAGCUCGACCUGGUCGACCGAGGAAUCACGUCCAUCGAAGAGAUACCCGGACUGUUCUCUUUGCCAAAUUUGACAAGGUUGACAUUGAGCCACAACAAAAUCAGAGUUGUUCCUGCUAGCAUAGCAAAUUUGUACAACUUGGAAAUUCUGACACUAUGCAACAACCAAAUUGUGGAGUUGCCCUCAUCAAUCUCUACAAUGCCAAAACUCAAGAUCCUGAACUUGGCAAUAAACCGGCUCAGCAGCCUGCCUCGAGGGUUCGGUGCCUUCCCCAUGCUCGAGGUGCUCGACCUCACGUACAACAACCUGAAUGAGCAGUCCCUGUCCAACAACUUCUUCAUAAUGGAUACACUGCGGGCCUUGUACUUAGGUGACAACGAGUUCGAGAAGCUUCCUCCAGCCAUUGGACAACUCAAGAAUUUGCAAAUUCUCUCUGUGCGGGAGAAUGAGCUCGUGGAGCUUCCAAAGGAACUGGGCCAGCUGACUAGGUUGAGGGAGCUGCACAUUCAAGGCAACAGGCUCGCGCUGCUUCCUCCUGAGCUAGGCAAUCUUGACCUUGCAAGCCAUCGUUGCGUCGUUCGCAUGGAUGACAACCCCUGGGUCGCCCCCAUAGCUGAUCAGCUGCAGAUUGGUGUUUCCCAUGUUGUUGAGUACAUCCGCAGUGAGACCUAUAAAUAUGUUUAUGGCCGCAACACACACAGCAGCCUAUCUCCUCCUCCCAAGAAGACCGACAAGAACAAGAAAGUGAGCAAAAAAAGAGACCACAACUGAGUGCACACUGGAAGGUUAACUCGACUAGUUCAGACAAUGCUCCCUGUUAGUGGGCUUUUUGAUGCUUCACUGUCCUUUGCUACCUUCAUGACAGAACAAAUACUAUGAAGUAUACGUCUAGCUUGCAGUGAAUGUUUUGCUAAGGCAUGGCCUUACUCCCCUAACGAACACUGAGAGUGAUCAUAGGGUGGCACCAUGACGAGGAUUCCGGAGCACUAGAGUAAGAUGGUCAAUAUAAAGUGGACAGACUAGUGCGUGGAGGCCAUAUGCUUGAUUGAUCACCUUUUGGAACUUCACUUGUGCUGCUUGGCUCAUUUUGGUGGCCCAGCACCUACGGCAUUGCACUGCUGAGCCAAUCACCGAAACUGAUUGCUGAAGCUAUCACCAAAAGUGAAUAAUCGAGACUCCUUGUUUUUGUUGCUCUCACCAAUGUUAAAUGCUUUCUAGAGGAUUUUGCAGUUUACUGCACAAUUGUUGAAAAUGGAGCAUCCUGUUAUGCCUGUUUACUUGAGUAAUGGUUAAAUGGCCCGUAUGAAGUUUGUCGGGGUUCGUUAAAGCAUGGGGCUGUUUGACCACUACAGCAUAGUUUUGUUAAUUCAACCUUCAUGGACUUCAAAUAUUUGUUCCAGUAAUGAAGAAGGCUGAGUUAAAGGAAGCUUCUUAAGAAUGUGGUAUGACAUGAGUUCUUCCCUGACCUGGAUGUGGAAACCACAUUGAAUGACUGCCAUUUUUUUUUUUGAAACUUAACUACCGGUGGUGCCUGGCUUGUUUGUAUGGUUUGUAGCUGUGCUACAGCCUGUAGCACUGGAAAGGACAGCUUCUGUUUAUACCUUUAUGCUCGCUUCUCAUUUCCUGUGCAAGCUUUGUGGCUAUUAAUAUUGCACCAGGCAUACAGUGUGCUUACCGUGUGUUCAUGUCCUUAUAGGAGUCAUUAGUUAUUGCUGUCCUCCUUUGCUCCCAUUACAAUGAAACACUAACUUUGUCGUAAUCUGCCAGUUCUUGCAGUUCCUAUCAGGCUUUUCUAGAGCAUGGAAAUAGUGUUGCCUCAUAGUGUGUUCACAGUGUUUACCAGAGCCUGUGGGCCUAGUGACAACUUUUCUGCAGCUAGAAUGGUCAGCUGCCAUUCACACAGCGACACAUUUUUAGUGAAGACCUAUUUUCACUGAAAAGUCCGGCAAUUUGGGCGGAUUGGUAAAGUUGCGGUGCUACCUUUUCUUUGUCCGCAUCUUUUUUGAGCGCUGUUUUACAGUCGCCAUGCACCUGAUUUCAGCCUGGUGCUGUGGGUGAAUGUUGCCAUUGCAUUACGGAACAUGCUGUUUAUAAUAGUAGGGACUAUAAUAAUAGGGACGAUCAUGAUGGUGAGUGUAUGCGUAUCGAAAACAAACACAUAGUUUCUGUCAACGUUCGCUACAUGCCUUGUCUCGUUUUUCUGUGCAUUCUCAUGUCCUAGUUAAUGUUUACUGUAACAGCUUUGUUUUUGUGAGUAGCAGUUGUUAGUGGAAAAUGAAUGCAGGCCGUCAUCAUUUGUAACAUUGGUUAACAGGGUUAAAGCAAGCAGCACUUAAUCAGAACUUAAUCAGCACCACAUGCGUGCGUUAGUGUCUGCAUGGAAAAUGCAGAAAUAUUGAGUUGUCAGCAAGCUCUACUUGACUUUGUUUGCUUAGUCUUCAUUUUUGGAACAAGCCAUUGGAUUUGUUCAGCUGUCCAAACAGUUGAAUCCUCACCUAGUACAUACCUAAAGUAAUUUAAAACUUUUCACUGAAUCAUCUUUUGCUCAUAAAAUACAAAAAAUAUGCCAUCAGCGUGAAUGUCAGGUGACCCCAGUAGUAGGGUUUGCACAAUUAAAUCCUCUUGAAAUAUAGUUGCUAUAAAUACAUGCAUAAGAAUGUCGCCAUGUUUGCAAACUGAUUAGUGUCACCAAAUGUGUCCCUUGCUAAAGGCAAAGCUCUGGAAAGCUGCUCACUUCCAGAACUUUUGAAGCAACGCACAUUUUUCAGCCGAGAUUGGUGACUUUGUUGCAUGUACGGGGCAUUGCAGGUGUGUGGAAACCUUUCACUGCUCCUAGUACAGUUUGAAAGUGCUGUGAAUAUGAAUGUGCCUUAGCAUUGUUCAUUUGUGCUAUUACAGUGGCACUUAAUGCAAGCUUUCCAUUUCAUUUGUGAAGGUGCUGCAUCUAUAUUGUUGCCUUUGGUGAAAUUGCCUUCGCAGUAUUUUGGUGCUGUGCCUUAUGCUUUAUAAGCAGUGCUUUCAAUAAUCCUUGCAGUAUUUGCCUUACAACUUUGCUUGCUUUAUUAGAAUCAAUUUCACUAGGAGACUGGAAGAAUAUUAUCAUACAAUAUCUUUUAGUUCACUUAUAAUGCCUCUGUUUUAUGAAGAGUGGUCACAAUGAUUAUAAUGCAGCCAUGAAUAAUCUUACUCAUCUCAUAUUUUUCAUUGCUGUGGCAUUGGACAUCAGUGGUAGGUUAGACACAGGCUGUAGUGCUGAGCAAAAGCGAUGUUCUGAAGGCUUUUCACAGUGAGGUGUGUGUAUUGACGGGAAACAAGGAAUCGCUAAUCUAACCUGGGACAAACCAGGUGCAUCUGGGCAAUGAUAAACAUUUAAGCUUGAUUGUGUAAUGGUUGUUUCUGUCUGCUGUUUAAUCUUAUGUGUUAUAACUUUCGCGAUUCCUUGUGACAGUGAGCAUUAUGACUCUUAAACGUGAACUAAGUCAUAAGUCUUUACUCCUUUACGACACAUUGCACCUCUUGUGCACAAUGUAUGAGCCAAGUGUCUUCAUAUUCCUUGUGUAUGCAGGACAUUCUUAUAUAAUUCUCCCCAUGUUACGCUGAGAUUUCCUGGCUGUAGGCUUUUCUUGGUGCCACACAUUGUGUCACUGUUUGCACAUGCCAUUGUGGAAGUUGAUAAUGCAUUUAGGGGCACGCACUACUAUGUAUAAUGGGAUAUAUAUUUUAUGGGCUGACAAAUUUAUUGUGGUUACUGACAAUGUCAAAAACCUGUGACCUGUAAUACGGAGUGAGUUGGACAGGAGACAGUAGUAGUACUCUUCUGAUAAAGCACUGACACUGACUUCUUGGCAAACCCAGCUUCAUGGCUGAGUUCACCGUGCUACAAAGAUGGUGCUGAAGUUUUACACUCUCAUCCAGCAGCAUUGGUGAUGAGCAGUGCUUGUAUAUGACUGCAGAACUAAGAAUGUUCUUUGAACUGAACUGAACUGCACUAAACUUGGCCUUUUGUAUCUUCUUCCACCUCCAAAUGAGAAGGGAAGAACAUUUUAGCUGCUUUUAGCUUUGCUGGCAUGAUUCAGUGGGCACCUCUUCUUGCGUCCUUGUCAGGAUGUUUCACAUGUCCACACUAUUAAAUGUAGAUUGGGCACACAGUGAUGGCGAAGUGAGGUGGUAUGACAUAUGCGUGAGGAAGGGAGGAUAUUGGCAAAGGGAGAGGGUUUGAGUGAAAGCUAGAACUGCCGUGUCGUUGAAGUGUUUGGGUUCCACGCCAAAUGCCUUGCAAAGUAGGCAUGUCAGCACACCCCUGUCUAUACCAUACUCAAUUACGUGGAUUCAGGUAAUGGCCCUUUAAGUUGUCAACCUGUGAACAUCUUUCUCCUCAGCGGUGUGAGUGCACCUGCUGUGCAUCUGCUGCAAGUGUGAAUGUUGGGUUGUGCAGUCUGUCUUAAUUCUCUUUUUGUCUAAGCCAAAUUAUUACACUAACGAGAGAACAAUGAAGCUGGUGCUUAUGCUGUGGCUUUUCGCAAAAGAAGUGCCAAAAAUGAAUCGCACUGCUUAAUGCUGCAGUUGAAUGUGUUCUUGUCCUAAUUGGAUAAGCUUGAUGGCACUGUAUGAAUGCAGUGCCUUAGUGUUAUAAGGGGAGCACAGCACUGAGAGCUUCUUUGUGAGAACUGCUCUCUUGGUGGCUCUGCAGUUAAAUCAGAUGUCGUAUGGAUCUACUUGAUAUGCCAUGGUUACGACCAUUCAUAUAUAGCAAGAAAGUUUAAUUGGCUUGUUUGGAGUUGGUGAGCGCCAAAAUGUUGCCACUGAGUGCAGCAGUGAGAUUUUUCGCAUUUAAAGCCAGCAAAAUACAGUGCUUGUUAGGCUAGAGGAUAAUCAAAGUGGUAAAUGACACAGUUUACAGUAUGUGAUUAUGAUAAUCAGUACUAUUUAGUUUUAGUUUGCUUCUGAUGUUGCUCCUCCCACUACAUAUAUACAUGCAUUCGGUUUUUUUUAUUAUAUUUAAUCCAUUUUUGUGUACUUAUUCAUCACUUUGUCUGCCUCUAAGUUUCUUGGCCAGUGCACUGUGGUUCAUCUUGUCCCAGAGAAAAACUGGUGCCAAUCAUUUCUUAAUCGUUUCCGUAUCUUAUGUUUCAUCUUUGUUAGUGCAUUUUCCUAUCAGCUGCUUUUCUUACUCUGCGUUUGCAGUUUAGUCUGAAAACAAUGUCUUGAAGUGAAUACAUUGUCAGACAGUCCUUGUCUUUAGUUUUGUGUGGAACAUGAAGAUGCUUUGUUAGUGCAAUCUGUCCACUCAGUUCACAAAUUAUUGUCACUGUUGCUGCGCGCGCAUAAAAUAUUGUUAAGCAAGUGCCUGCAAGCUUCAGUUACUUGUUGAGCUGUUUUUGCUAAAAUGUGGUCUUCUUUUAACAAGGUGUUUAAGCGCGCUCUUGGUUUAGACCUAAUGAUUUUCACUAGUCGCACAAGUUGAAUAAAGUUUUUAAUCUGUUUACCUGUA